AAUAUAUUUUAUUAUAGUAAUUAAGUUUAUUAAUUAAAUAUUUUAUAUGUAAAUUAUUGUAUGAAAUAAUAUAAUUUAAAAAAUAAAAUAAUUUAUUUGCAGUAAUUAAAAUUAUUAAUUUAAGAAAUUAUGAUUUAGUAAUUUAGUUUAAUAUAGAUAUUUUUUGUGCCAGCAAUCGCGGUUAUACAAAAUAUAUAAAUAAAUUAUUUUAAAAAAAGUUAAAUAAUUUUUUAUAUUAAGUUUUAAUUUAUUUUAUUAAGUGAAAUUUUAUUAUAAUAAAAAAUUUAAUAAAAUUUAAUAUUUAUCUUAUAAAUUUUUUUAUAAACUAGGAUUAGAUACCCUAUUAUUAAAAUAUAAAAUUAUUUUUUUGAUUAGUAUUAGGUAUAUUAAUGAAAUUAAAAUAAAUUGGCGGUAUUUUAGUCUAUUCAGAGGAAUUUGUUUUAUAAUUGAUAAUCCUCAUUUUAUUUUACUUAUUUUAUUUAAUUUGUAUAUCGUUGUCAUUAGAAUAUUUUGUAAAAAUAAUAAUUUUCUGAAAUUAUUUAAAAUUUUAUGUCAAAUCAAGGUGCAGUUUAUAUUUAAGAAAAAAUGAAUUACAAUAAUAUAUAAUUAAAAUGAAUUAAAAAUUGGAAUAUUUUUAUGAAGGUGGAUUUGAUAGUAAAUUUAAUGAGAAUGUUAAUUUGAUUAUAGCUCUAAAAUAUGUACAUAUCGCCCGUCACUCUUAUUUUUAAAAUAAGAUAAGUCGUAACAAAGUAGAGUUAUUGGAAGAUGUCUCUAGAUUAUU
rnacentral:ncRNA from 1 species